GCGAACGCUGGCGGCAGGCCUAACACAUGCAAGUCGAACGCACUCUUCGGAGUUAGUGGCGGACGGGUGAGUAACACGUGGGAACGUGCCUUUUGGUUCGGAAUAACUCAGGGAAACUUGUGCUAAUACCGAAUGUGCCCUUCGGGGGAAAGAUUUGUCGCCAUUAGAGCGGCCCGCGUCUGAUUAGCUAGUUGGUGAGGUAACGGCUCACCAAGGCGACGAUCAGUAGCUGGUCUGAGAGGAUGACCAGCCACACGGGGACUGAGACACGGCCCAGACUCCUCCGGGAGGCAGCAGGGGGGAUUCUUGCGAAGGGGGCGAAAGCCUGACGCACCCGUGCCGGGUAAAUAAUGAAGUUCUUAGGAUUGAAAAUUUUUUCCCCCGGGGCGGAUAAGGAGGUUCCCGGGAGGGGAGCCCCCGCCUAAUUUGGUC
rnacentral:rRNA from 1 species